rnacentral:rRNA from 1 species
UACGUAGGGUGCAAGCGUUGUCCGGAAUUAUUGGGCGUAAAGAGCUCGUAGGCGGUUUGUUGCGUCGGCUGUGAAAUCCCGAGGCUCAACCUCGGGUCUGCAGUCGAUACGAGCAAACUAGAGUGUUGCAGGGGAGACUGGAAUUCCUGGUGUAGCGGUGAAAUGCGCAGAUAUCAGGAGGAACACCGGUGGCGAAGGCGGGUCUCUGGGCCGAUACUGACACUGAGGAGCGAAAGCGUGGGGAGCAAACAGG